UUGCUUUUGGCAGUGCAUAUGCUAAAAUUGGAAUGAUACAGAGAAGAUUAGCAUAGUCCUCAUGCAAGGAUGACAUGCAAAUUCAUGAAGCAUUCCAUAUUUAA